rnacentral:rRNA from 1 species
UACGUAGGGGGCAAGCGUUAUCCGGAUUUACUGGGUGUAAAGGGAGCGUAGACGGCGGUGCAAGCCAGAUGUGAAAGCCCGGGGCUCAACCCCGGGACUGCAUUUGGAACUGUGCUGCUAGAGUGUCGGAGAGGCAGGCGGAAUUCCUAGUGUAGCGGUGAAAUGCUUAGAGAUCAUACAGAACACCGAUUGCGAAGGCAGCUUACCAAGCUACUUCUGACGUUGAGGCACGAAAGCGUGGGGAGCAAACAGG